GGGCUAUGCGCCUCCAGAGGACAUCGCGGCUGCUGAGGAAGCGCAGGCGGCGGCAGACCUGGGCCAGGCGGCCCAAGGCCUGCGCGUCCAGGCUUGCUCCCAAUACUGAGGUUAUAACUGCAGGGUAAGAACCGGAGGAGAAUGCAAGAAGGUUCACUGGAAACUUGAACAGAGUUGUCCAGAGUCUCAGGACCAGAUGUGAAGGUGCUGUAAACAGGAGUUUUCACUGUGUUUUAACAGAAUUAUGCUGCUUUAUUUUGAAGCAGGGUGUCACCUAGAGAACACACAGAAAUUAUCCACCUAUCCAGAACUUCCAUAAUAAAGAAAACCCAGCUACCAAGACUAACCACAAAACAGAAAUGUCCAGUGAAAGCCAAACAACACAAUUUCAAAAUAGUUUAAGUAAGAAAAAUAAAGGUGCUAUGAAGUUGCAGGUUAUCACCAAGUGGUUAUCACACCCAGUGGACCAGAGCCUGUCCCUUAGGACAUGCAUAACACUCUCCCAGCCAAAGUGGGCUUGUCAAGUCCAGCCAGCAGGUUAUGGCAUGCCAAGGGCUCCUUCUCAUGUAGCCCCACUUGAUCACAAAAUGAUGAGGUCUUGGGAUGCUGUAAGGGCAGCUGGAUCAAAACCAAUGCUGCAGAAACCUGUUCACCACUUACCAGGUGUUCAGUUCAGGUCAACAGCCAGUCUCAAGGCAGGUACAUCCCAUCUGAAAACUGAAUUCUUACCUUCUUUGCUACCUGUGGUUUCCAGAUGGAGGCUGAAGGAACCAUAAGUACAAGCACUAAAACCUGGCUUUCAGACUGACAAACUUAAAAGUCAUAUGUCUGUCACUA